rnacentral:misc_RNA from 1 species
AAGUCGUAACAAGGUAACCGUAGGUGAACCUGCGAUUGGAUCAUUAGAAAAUGAUAGCGAGUCGGUUUAAGCGGUCUAUGUGAUCCUUGCCGGUUAGCAACCACCACCACUGUGCACUAUACUGGUAUCUGAGAUUUUGCGCCUUCUAAGAGACUUUGGUCUUGAUCGGAGGAACAUGCUCGAACAUAUAAACAAACCUAUUUUUCAGUCUGAUAUGUAUUCUAACGAAUCAAAAACAACUUUUAACAACGGAUCUCUAGGCUCUC